CAGCCGCCGCGGGAAAACGGAGGGUGCAAGCGUUAAUCGGAAUUACUGGGCGUAAAGCGCACGCAGGCGGUCUGACAAGUCAGAUGUGAAAUCCCCGGGCUUAACCUGGGAACUGCAUUUGAAACUGUCAGGCUGGAGUCUUGUAGAGGGGGGUAGAAUUCCAGGUGUAGCGGUGAAAUGCGUAGAGAUCUGGAGGAAUACCGGUGGCGAAGGCGGCCCCCUGGACAAAGACUGACGCUCAGGUGCGAAAGCGUGGGGAGCAAACAGGAUUAGAUACCCGAGUAGUCCCUGUCUCUUAUAC
rnacentral:rRNA from 1 species